rnacentral:lncRNA from 1 species
UUUUUUUUUUUUUUUUUUUGAGACAGAGUUUUGCUCUUGUUGCCUAGGCUGGAGUGCAAUGGCACGAUCUCAGCUCACUGCAACCUCUCCCUCCUGGGUUCAGGUGAUUCUCCUGUCUCAGCCUCCUGAGUAGCUGGGAUUACAGGCACGUGCCACCACGCCUUGUUAGUUUUUUGUAGUUUUAGUAGAGACUGGGUUUUACUACGUUGGUCAGGCUGGCCUCGAACUCCUGACCUCAGGUGAUUUGCCCACCUUGGCCUCCCAAAGUGCUGGGAUUUACAGGCAUGAGCCACUGUGCCCAACCUAUCAUAACCAUUUUUAAGUAUACAAUUCAGUGGCAUUAAGUACAUUCGCAUUGUUGUGCUACCAUCAGUACCAUCCAUUUCCAGAACUCUUUUCAUCUUGCAAAACUGGAAGUCUUUACUUAUCAAACAAUAACUCCCAUUCCCCUCUCCUCCAAGCCCCUGGUAACUGCUUUAUUACUGUUUCUCUCUAGAAUUUCACUACUCUACAUGCCUCAUAUAGGCAGAAUCAUAUAUUUGUCCUUUUGUGACUGGCUUAUUUCACUUAGCACAAUGGCCUUAAGGUUCAUUCAUAUUGUAGCAUGGGUCAGAAUUCUUUCUUUUUUUUUAAGGCUGAAUAAUGUUCUGUUGCAUGUAUAUAUCACUUUCAUCUUAUUCAUUUAUCAGUCAAUAGACACUUGGAUUGUUUUCACCUUUUAGUUAUAGCAAAUAAUGCUGCUAUGAACAUGGGUGUACAAUUACCUCUUUGAGUCCCUGCUUUCAAUUCUUUUGGGUAUAUACACAGAAGUGGAAUUGCUGGAUCAUAUAGUAAUCCUGUUUUUAAUUUUUUGGGGAAGCCAUACUGUUUUCCAUAAUGGCUUCAUCAUUUUACAUCUCACCAACAGUGUACAAGGGUUCCAAUUUCUCCAUGUCCUUGUCAGCAUUUGUUAUUUUCUGUUUUUGUUGUAGCCAUCCUAAUAGGUGUGAUGUCUCAUCACUCUUAUUUAGCAUAG